AUGCACACCCUGAGAGGUGGCAGUGAGGACACUGGGUGUGCAUGUCCUGUCUCAGGGUGUGUGCGUGAGUCCCAGCUCAGCGCCCUGCUGAUGCACACCCUGAGAGGUGGCAGUGAGGACACAGGGUGUGCAUGUCCUGUCUCAGGGUGUGUGCGUGAGUCCCAGCUCAGCGCCCUGCUGAUGCACACCCUGAGAGGUGGCAGUGAGGACACUGGGUGUGCACGUCCUGUCUCAGAGUGUGUGCGUGAGUCCCAGCUCAGUGCCCUGCUGAUGCACACCCUGAGAGGUGGCAGUGAGGACACUGGGUGUGCACGUCCUGUCUCAGAGUGUGUGCGUGAGUCCCAGCUCAGCGCCCUGCUGAUGCAUACCCUGAGAGGUGGCAGUGAGGACACUGGGUGUGCAUGUCCUGUCUCAGGGUGUGUGCGUGAGUCCCAGCUCAGCGCCCUGCUGAUGCACACCCUGAGAGGUGGCAGUGAGGACACUGGGUGUGCACGUCCUGUCUCAGAGUGUGUGCGUGAGUCCCAAAUCAGCGCCCUGCUGAUAUGUACCCUGAGAGGUGGCAGUGAGGACACUGGGUGUGCACGUCCUGUCUCAGAGUGUGUGCGUGAGUCCCAGCUCAGCGCCCUGCUGAUGCACACCCUGAGAGGUGGCAGUGAGGACACUGGGUGUGCAUGUCCUGUCUCAGGGUGUGUGCGUGAGUCCCAAAUCAGCGCCCUGCUGAUGCACACCCUGAGAGGUGGCAGUGAGGACACUGGGUGUGCACGUCCUGUCUCAGAGUGUGUGCGUGAGUCCCAGCUCAGCGCCCUGCUGAUAUGUACCCUGAGAGGUGGCAGUGAGGACACUGGGUGUGCACGUCCUGUCUCAGAGUGUGUGCGUGAGUCCCAGCUCAGCGCCCUGCUGAUGCACACCCUGAGAGGUGGCAGUGAGGACACUGGGUGUGCACGUCCUGUCUCAGAGUGUGUGCGUGAGUCCCAGCUCAGCGCCCUGCUGAUAUGUACCCUGAGAGGUGGCAGUGAGGACACUGGGUGUGCACGUCCUGUCUCAGAGUGUGUGCGUGAGUCCCAGCUCAGCGCCCUGCUGAUAUGUACCCUGAGAGGUGGCAGUGAGGACACUGGGUGUGCACGUCCUGUCUCAGAGUGCGUGAGUCCCAGCUCAGCGCCCUGCUGA
rnacentral:lncRNA from 1 species